AGAGUUUGAUCCUGGCUCAGAUUGAACGCUGGCGGAAUGCUUUACACAUGCAAGUCGAACGGCAGCACGGGAGCUUGCUCCUGGUGGCGAGUGGCGAACGGGUGAGUAAUGUAUCGGAACGUACCCCGUCGUGGGGGAUAACUCUCCGAAAGGAGAGCUAAUACCGCAUACGACCCGAGGGUGAAAGCGGGGGACCUGGGGUAACCUGGGCCUCGCGCGAUGGGAGCGGCCGAUAUCGGAUUAGCUAGUUGGUGGGGUAAAGGCCUACCAAGGCGACGAUCCGUAGCGGGUCUGAGAGGACGACCCGCCACACUGGAACUGAGACACGGUCCAGACUCCUACGGGAGGCAGCAGUGGGGAAUUUUGGACAAUGGGCGCAAGCCUGAUCCAGCCAUUCCGCGUGAGUGAAGAAGGCCUUCGGGUUGUAAAGCUCUUUCAGCAGGAACGAAACGGUGGGUCUUAAUACGGCCUGCUAAUGACGGUACCUGCAGAAGAAGCACCGGCUAACUACGUGCCAGCAGCCGCGGUAAUACGUAGGGUGCGAGCGUUAAUCGGAAUUACUGGGCGUAAAGCGUGCGCAGGCGGCGACAUAAGACAGAUGUGAAAUCCCCGGGCUCAACCUGGGAACGGCGUUUGUGACUGUGUGGCUAGAGUGUAGCAGAGGGGGGUGGAAUUCCACGUGUAGCAGUGAAAUGCGUAGAGAUGUGGAGGAACACCGAUGGCGAAGCAGCCCCCUGGGUUAACACUGACGCUCAUGCACGAAAGCGUGGGGAGCAAACAGGAUUAGAUACCCUGGUAGUCCACGCCCUAAACGAUGCCAACUAGGUGUUGGGGGAGGAGACUUCCUUAGUACCGUAGCUAACGCGUGAAGUUGGCCGCCUGGGGAGUACGGUCGCAAGAUUAAAACUCAAAGGAAUUGACGGGGACCCGCACAAGCGGUGGAUGAUGUGGAUUAAUUCGAUGCAACGCGAAAAACCUUACCUACCCUUGACAUGUCCGGAAUCCCGAAGAGAUUUGGGAGUGCUCGAAAGAGAGCCGGAACACAGGUGCUGCAUGGCUGUCGUCAGCUCGUGUCGUGAGAUGUUGGGUUAAGUCCCGCAACGAGCGCAACCCUUAUCAUUAGUUGCCAUCAUUGAGUUGGGCACUCUAAUGAGACUGCCGGUGACAAACCGGAGGAAGGUGGGGAUGACGUCAAGUCCUCAUGGCCCUUAUGGGUAGGGCUUCACACGUCAUACAAUGGUCGGUACAGAGGGUUGCCAACCCGCGAGGGGGAGCUAAUCUCACAAAGCCGAUCGUAGUCCGGAUCGCAGUCUGCAACUCGACUGCGUGAAGUCGGAAUCGCUAGUAAUCGUGGAUCAGCAUGUCACGGUGAAUACGUUCCCGGGUCUUGUACACACCGCCCGUCACACCAUGGGAGUGGGUUCCACCAGAAGUAGGUAGUCUAACCGCGCACCGGCGUAAGUUGGCGUGCGGAGGGCGCUUACCACGGUGGGGUUCAUGACUGGGGUGAAGUCGUAACAAGGUAACCGUA
rnacentral:rRNA from 1 species